AUGGUUAGGAGUGUACCGAUUGGUGAGAAGCUCUUCAUAGGAGGAGACCUCAAUGGCCACAUGGGUACAUCUAACACAGGUUUUGAAGGGGCGCAUGGGGGCUUUGGCUAUGGCAUCAGGAAUCAAGAAGGAGAUGAUGUCUUAAGCUUUGCUCUAGCCUACAACAUGAUUGUAGCUAACACCCUCUUUAGAAAGAGAGAAUCACAUCUGGUGACUUUUAGUAGUGGCCAACACUCUAGCCAGAUAGAUUUCAUCCUCUCGAGAAGAGAAGAUAGGCAUGCGUGCCUAGACUGUAAGGUGAUACCUGGAGAGAGUGUUGUACCCCUGCAUAAGCUGGUGGUUGCUGACUUCCACUUUCGGAUUCGUGUCCAGCGGGAUAAGCGUGCCAAAGUCGCUAGAACGAAGUGGUGGAAGCUCAAGGGGGAGGUAGCUCAGGCGUUCAAGGAGAGGGUCAUUUAG
rnacentral:rRNA from 1 species